UCAAAUCAGGUAGGACUACCCGCUGAACUUAAGCAUAUCA
rnacentral:rRNA from 1 species